rnacentral:rRNA from 1 species
GUCGAGCGGAGCUAGUGGAGCUUGCUCCUUUAUCUUAGCGGCGGACGGGUGAGUAACACGUGGGCAACCUGCCCUGCAGAUCGGGAUAACUCCGGGAAACCGGUGCUAAUACCGAAUAGGUUGCGGCCUCUCAUGAGGCUGCACGGAAAGACGGUUUCGGCUGUCACUGCAGGAUGGGCCCGCGGCGCAUUAGCUAGUUGGUGAGGUAACGGCUCACCAAGGCGACGAUGCGUAGCCGACCUGAGAGGGUGAUCGGCCACACUGGGACUGAGACACGGCCCAGACUCCUACGGGAGGCAGCAGUAGGGAAUCUUCCGCAAUGGACGAAAGUCUGACGGAGCAACGCCGCGUGAGUGAAGAAGGUUUUCGGAUCGUAAAACUCUGUUGUGAGGGAAGAACAAGUACCAACUAACUAUUGGUACCUUGACGGUACCUCACCAGAAAGCCACGGCUAACUACGUGCCAGCAGCCGCGGUAAUACGUAGGUGGCAAGCGUUGUCCGGAAUUAUUGGGCGUAAAGCGCGCGCAGGCGGUCCUUUAAGUCUGAUGUGAAAGCCCACGGCUCAACCGUGGAGGGUCAUUGGAAACUGGGGGACUUGAGUGCAGAAGAGGAAAGUGGAAUUCCACGUGUAGCGGUGAAAUGCGUAGAGAUGUGGAGGAACACCAGUGGCGAAGGCGACUUUCUGGUC